GGGGAAUAUUGCACAAUGGGGGAAACCCUGAUGCAGCGACGCCGCGUGAGCGAAGAAGUAUUUCGGUAUGUAAAGCUCUAUCAGCAGGGAAGAAGAAUGACGGUACCUGACUAAGAAGCACCGGCUAAAUACGUGCCAGCAGCCGCGGUAAUACGUAUGGUGCAAGCGUUAUCCGGAUUUACUGGGUGUAAAGGGUGCGUAGGCGGCUUGGUAAGUCAGAUGUGAAAUGUAUGGGCUCAACCCAUGCACUGCAUUUGAAACUAUUGAGCUUGAGUGAAGUAGAGGUAGGCGGAAUUCCCUGUGUAGCGGUGAAAUGCGUAGAGAUAGGGAGGAACACCAGUGGCGAAGGCGGCCUACUGGGCUUUAACUGACGCUGAGGCACGAAAGCGUGGGUAGCAAACAGGAUUAGAUACCCUGGUAGUCCACGCUGUAAACGAUGAUUACUAGGUGUGGGGGGUCUGACCCCUUCCGUGCCGGAGUUAACACAAUAAGUAAUCCACCUGGGGAGUACGACCGCAAGGUUGAAACUCAAAGGAAUUGACGGGGGCCCGCACAAGCAGUGGAGUAUGUGGUUUAAUUCGACGCAACGCGAAGAACCUUACCAAGUCUUGACAUCCCUUGACGAUGCUGGAAACAGUAUUUCUCUUCGGAGCAAGGAGACAGGUGGUGCAUGGUUGUCGUCAGCUCGUGUCGUGAGAUGUUGGGUUAAGUCCCGCAACGAGCGCAACCCUUAUGGUCAGUUACUACGCAAGAGGACUCUGGCCAGACUGCCGUUGACAAAACGGAGGAAGGUGGGGAUGACGUCAAAUCAUCAUGCCCUUUAUGACUUGGGCUACACACGUACUACAAUGGCGUUAAACAAAGAGAAGUAAGACCGCGAGGUGGAGCAAAACUCAGAAACAACGUCCCAGUUCGGACUGCAGGCUGCAACUCGCCUGCACGAAGUCGGAAUUGCUAGUAAUCGUGGAUCAGCAUGCCACGGUGAAUACGUUCCCG
rnacentral:rRNA from 1 species